rnacentral:tRNA from 1 species
CGACCUGUAGCCUAGUGGAUAGGGCAACAGCCUCCUAAGCUGUGGGUCGGGGGUUCAAAUCCCCCCAGGUCCG